rnacentral:rRNA from 1 species
AGUCGAACGGUGAAGCCAAGCUUGCUUGGUGGAUCAGUGGCGAACGGGUGAGUAACACGUGAGCAACCUGCCCUGGACUCUGGGAUAAGCGCUGGAAACGGCGUCUAAUACUGGAUAUGAGCCUUCAUCGCAUGGUGGGGGUUGGAAAGAUUUUUUGGUCUGGGAUGGGCUCGCGGCCUAUCAGCUUGUUGGUGAGGUAAUGGCUCACCAAGGCGUCGACGGGUAGCCGGCCUGAGAGGGUGACCGGCCACACUGGGACUGAGACACGGCCCAGACUCCUACGGGAGGCAGCAGUGGGGAAUAUUGCACAAUGGGCGAAAGCCUGAUGCAGCAACGCCGCGUGAGGGAUGACGGCCUUCGGGUUGUAAACCUCUUUUAGCAGGGAAGAAGCGAAAGUGACGGUACCUGCAGAAAAAGCGCCGGCUAACUACGUGCCAGCAGCCGCGGUAAUACGUAGGGCGCAAGCGUUAUCCGGAAUUAUUGGGCGUAAAGAGCUCGUAGGCGGUUUGUCGCGUCUGCUGUGAAAUCCCGAGGCUCAACCUCGGGCCUGCAGUGGGUACGGGCAGACUAGAGUGCGGUAGGGGAGAUUGGAAUUCCUGGUGUAGCGGUGGAAUGCGCAGAUAUCAGGAGGAACACCGAUGGCGAAGGCAGAUCUCUGGGCCGUAACUGACGCUGAGGAGCGAAAGGGUGGGGAGCAAACAGGCUUAGAUACCCUGGUAGUCCACCCCGUAAACGUUGGGAACUAGUUGUGGGGACCAUUCCACGGUUUCCGUGACGCAGCUAACGCAUUAAGUUCCCCGCCUGGGGAGUACGGCCGCAAGGCUAAAACUCAAAGGAAUUGACGGGGACCCGCACAAGCGGCGGAGCAUGCGGAUUAAUUCGAUGCAACGCGAAGAACCUUACCAAGGCUUGACAUACACCAG